rnacentral:rRNA from 1 species
UAGGGAAUCUUCCACAAUGGGCGCAAGCCUGAUGGAGCAACACCGCGUGAGUGAAGAAGGGUUUCGGCUCGUAAAGCUCUGUUGUUAAAGAAGAACACGUAUGAGAGCAACUGUUCAUACGUUGACGGUAUUUAACCAGAAAGUCACGGCUAACUACGUGCCAGCAGCCGCGGUAAUACGUAGGUGGCAAGCGUUAUCCGGAUUUAUUGGGCGUAAAGAGAGUGCAGGCGGUUUUCUAAGUCUGAUGUGAAAGCCUUCGGCUUAACCGGAGAAGUGCAUCGGAAACUGGAUAACUUGAGUGCAGAAGAGGGUAGUGGAACUCCAUGUGUAGCGGUGGAAUGCGUAGAUAUAUGGAAGAACACCAGUGGCGAAGGCGGCUACCUGGUCUGCAACUGACGCUGAGACUCGAAAGCAUGGGUAGCGAACAGGAUUAGAUACCCUGGUAGUCCAUGCCGUAAACGAUGAGUGCUAGGUGUUGGAGGGUUUCCGCCCUUCAGUGCCGGGGCUAACGCAUUAAGCACUCCGCCUGGGGAGUACGACCGCAAGGUUG